CAGCAGCCGCGGGAAUACGUAGGGUGCGAGCGUUAAUCGGAAUUACUGGGCGUAAAGCGUGCGCAGGCGGUUGUGUAAGACAGGUGUGAAAUCCCCGGGCUUAACCUGGAACUGCGCUUGUGACUGCACAGCUAGAGUAUGGCAGAGGGGGGUGGAAUUCCACGUGUAGCAGUGAAAUGCGUAGAGAUGUGGAGGAACACCGAUGGCGAAGGCAGCCCCCUGGGCCAAUACUGACGCUCAUGCACGAAAGCGUGGGGAGCAAACAGGAUUAGAUACCCCAGUAGUCCCUGUCUCUUAUACC
rnacentral:rRNA from 1 species